GUUCAAGCCGCCGCGGUAAUACGAAGGGGGCUAGCGUUGCUCGGAGUCACUGGGCGUAAAGCGCACGUAGGCGGAUUGUUAAGUCAGGGGUGAAAUCCUGGAGCUCAACUCCAGAACUGCCUUUGAUACUGGCGAUCUCGAGUCCGGGAGAGGUGAGUGGAACUGCGAGUGUAGAGGUGAAAUUCGUAGAUAUUCGCAAGAACACCAGUGGCGAAGGCGGCUCACUGGCCCGGUACUGACGCUGAGGUGCGAAAGCGUGGGGAGCAAACAGGAUUAGAUACCCCCGUAGUCC
rnacentral:rRNA from 1 species